rnacentral:piRNA from 1 species
UCAAAGCCUACUUUUAAUGAUGAUUUUCAAC